UACAGAGGGUGCGAGCGUUGUCCGGAAUCACUGGGCGUAAAGGGCGCGUAGGUGGCGACCCAAGUCGAUGGUGAAAGCUCGUCGCUCAACGGCGAGUCGGCCACCGAUACUGGGUUGCUGGAGCACUGUAGAGGCAGAUGGAAUUCCGGGUGUAGCGGUGGAAUGCGUAGAGAUCCGGAAGAACACCGGUGGCGAAGGCGGUCUGCUGGGCAGUUGCUGACACUGAGGCGCGACAGCGUGGGGAGCAAACAGG
rnacentral:rRNA from 1 species